GAUGAAGAACGCAGCGAAAUGCGAUAAGUAAUGUGAAUUGCAGAAUUCAGUGAAUCAUCGAAUCUUUGAACGCACAUUGCGCCCGCCAGUAUUCUGGCGGGCAUGCCUGUCCGAGCGUCAUUUCAACCCUCGCGCCCAUCUGGGCUGCGGUGUUGGGGACCGGCCUGCCCCCCCGGGGCGCGCCGCCCCCCAAAUUCAGUGGCGGUCUCGCUGCAGCCUCCCUUGCGUAGUAGCACACCUCGCACCGGAGCGCAGCGCGGCCACGCCGUAAAACCCCCGACCCCCAUGAGUUUGACCUCGAAUCAGGUAGGAAUACCCGCUGAACUUAAGCAUAUCAAUAAGCGGAGGA
rnacentral:misc_RNA from 1 species